AUGGCCUCCUCCAGCACCACCUCCUCUACCCUCUCCGGUCAGAUCACCGAGCGGCUGACCCGCACCAACUACAUACUGUGGCGUACCCAGAUUACGCCGCAACAGAGGGGCAGGCUUCUUCGGCUAUGUCGAUGGAAGCAUGGCGGAGCCGGCCAAGAUCGUCGUCAGCAAGGACAAGGAUGGAAAGGAGGAGACCAUCCCGAAUCCACUCCAUCCCAUCUGGGUUCGAGAGGAUCAGCAGGUACUCGGAUAUCUUCUCAACAAUCUCUCCAAAGAAGUCUUGGUGCAGGUGACCUCGAUCGCUCAUGCACACGAUCUUUGGACGGCAUUGGCGAGCAUGUUCUC
rnacentral:rRNA from 1 species